rnacentral:lncRNA from 1 species
UUUCUCUGUGAUAACUCCAGCUGUGUCAAGUUGACACAAAACUAGCCAGUACAAGCAUGAACACUCAUAUCAUAGAUAGAUAGAUAGAUAGAUAGAUAGAUAGAUAGAUAGAUAGAUAGAUAAUGACAAAAGUUUUCAGCACAGUAGGAGAUAGUUUUUGGUUUCUAUUUAGAAAACAAAGGAACCUUAAAUUUUGAGCCCUUGACUAUGAUAACAGUAGCCAGUGCUGUACCAAGGCUAGAUUAAUAGUUUAUCAGAAUUCCUCUGAUCAGUUAUGUUAAACUCAGAACUUUUGAAGUCUUAACAUCAGAUAACAUCUUUAAGUCUUGUGUUUCACAUGCCUUAAAUCGCUUCCUCAGACCUCCUCAGCCUGCAUUUAUAUAUCUUAAAUCAGGUCCUUAGACUUUCACAACUUAGAUUUACAUACCUCAGAUCAUUUCCUUAGACAUUCACAUCUUUCACCCAUGUUUCUGAAAUCACUUCCUAGACCCACACAGCUUGUAUUUACCUAUCUCAAAUUACUUCCCUGGACCCUUACAAUUUACAUAAACUUUAUUCAAUCAUUUACCAUGCGACCCAGGGGGUUGAUUACUGAGAGCAGUCAUUGAAAAGCAAGUUCAUUUAAAUAAGGGAAAAUCGUAAAGAGUAGAUUUUUAGUUAGAGAUAGUAGUAUGAUAUCUGGAGUUUGUUUUUACACUGAAGUUUGUUGUGGGAGUCUCUUUUUUACUGUGUAGCCUGUAAGAGAGGUAAAACUGUCAUGUGUCUGCCUUUCUCAGCAGGAGACCUAGUUGCUCUGGUAAAGCAAGACCUGAUUUUUUUACAUCUGAAACAGAUUGACCAGCCAGCCAGCUGCAGACUUGCAGGGGGGUGGAACUCACUAAAAAGUAGGCUUACUGCUGCUAAACUGAUGAAGCUCAGGCUAGCCAUCAACACCAUCACAGGUCUGAGAAGGAUAAAUUUGAGCACGAAUAUAAUCUAAGUGGCCUCUGUAUUGGUUAAAAUGGCAGAGACUAACUGGACUGACAGCCUGAACUUGUCCAUGGUGAUCUCUAUGACUUGCUUGGGGUCAAAGGUCACCAAUUUUUGACUAUCACACAGGACAACAUCAAGUCUUCAGCUACCAGACCCAGAAUAUUUGAGAGAUUUUCCUAUGGAGGACAAGCCUGGGAAAACUGACCUGUCUUGGUGACGUUGAGUAGAGCAGUCAGCCAGCUCUGUCCCCAACUUGGGCAGCAUCCAGGUGGCAAGCAAGGCAUCCGAUUGAGCAGCUCUUUGCCCAGUAGUCAUUAUUACUUCGCUCCAGUUGGAGCUCCUUGCUAACCAUCUUCUUUGGACACCUACGCUUGUUCUCUGUGUACAUAAAUAUGAAUGAUUUAAGAAGCCGGGUGGUGGUGGUGCACGCCUUUAAUCCCAGCACUUGGGAGGCAGAGGCAGACAGAUUUCUGAGUUCGAGGCCAGCUUGGUCUACAAAGUGAGUGCCAGGGCUAUAGAGAGAAACUCUGUCUUGAAACAAACAAACAAAC